AUUGAACGCUGGCGGCAGGCCUAACACAUGCAAGUCGAACGAGUGGCGGACGGGCGAGUAAUGUCUGGGAAACUGCCUGAUGGAGGGGGAUAACUACUGGAAACGGUAGCUAAUACCGCAUACCCUCAGAUGUUCUCAGAUGGGACUAGCUGGUUGGUGGGGUAACGGCUCACCAAGGCAACGAUCCCUAGCUGGUCUGAGAGGAUGACGAGCCAAACUGGAACUGAGACACGGUCCAGACUCCUACGGGAGGCAGCAGAGGAGAGUGUUGCACGAUGGACGGAAGCCUGAAGCAGCCAUGCCGGGUGUAUGAAAGAGGCAUUCGUGUUGUAAAGUACUUUCGGCGGGGAGGCGUUACCCGCGGAAGAAGCACCGGCUAACUCCGUGCCAGCAGCCGCGGUAAUUC
rnacentral:rRNA from 1 species